GCUAAUACCGCAUACGUCUGUAAAGGGAAAGCGGGGGCUCGUAAGACCUCGCGCUAUUGGAUGAGCCAAAGUCGGAUUAGCUAGUUGGUGGGGUAAUGGCCUACCAAGGCGACAAUCCGUAGCUGGUCUGAGAGGACGACCAGCCACACCGGAACUGAGACACGGUCCGGACUCCUACGGGAGGCAGCAGUGGGGAAUAUUGGACAAUGGGGGAAACCCUGAUCCAGCGACGCCGCGUGUGUGAAGAAGGCCUGCGGGUUGUAAAGCACUUUUAGUGGGGACAAAAAGCUACGGAUUAAUACUCUGUGGCCUUGAUUUAACCCAAAGAAAAAGCACCGGCUAACUCUGUGCCAGCAGCCGCGGUAAUACAGAGGGUGCGAGCGUUAAUCGGAAUUACUGGGCGUAAAGCGCGCGUAGACGGUUUUGUAAGUCAGAUGUGAAAUCCCUGGGCUCAACCUGGGAACUGCAUUUGAAACUGCAUGGCUAGAGUAUCGA
rnacentral:rRNA from 1 species